rnacentral:rRNA from 1 species
UACGUAGGUGGCAAGCGUUGUCCGGAUUUACUGGGUGUAAAGGGCGCGUAGGCGGGGAAGCAAGUCAGAUGUGAAAUCCAUGGGCUUAACCCAUGAACUGCAUUUGAAACUGUUUUUCUUGAGUAUCGGAGAGGCGAGCGAAAUUCCUAGUGUAGCGGUGAAAUGCGUAGAUAUUAGGAGGAACACCAGUGGCGAAGGCGGCUUGCUGGACGACAACUGACGCUGAGGCGCGAAAGCGUGGGGAGCAAAC